rnacentral:tRNA from 1 species
GGCGAUGUAGCUCAGAUGGUGAGAGCAUGCGGCUCAUAUCCGCAGUGUCCGGGGUUCAAGUCCCUGCAUCGCCA